AGCAGCGUGGCUCAGUGGAAGGAGCACGGACUUGGGAGUAAGAGGUCAUGGGUUCGAAUCCUGUCUCUGCCA
rnacentral:tRNA from 1 species